GGUUAAGCGACUAAGCGUACACGGUGGAUGCCCUGGCAGUCAGAGGCGAUGAAGGACGUGCUAAUCUGCGAUAAGCGUCGGUAAGGUGAUAUGAACCGUUAUAACCGGCGAUUUCCGAAUGGGGAAACCCAGUGUGAUUCGUCACACUAUCAUUACGUGAAUACAUAGCGUAAUGAAGCGAACCGGGGGAACUGAAACAUCUAAGUACCCCGAGGAAAAGAAAUCAACCGAGAUUCCCCCAGUAGCGGCGAGCGAACGGGGAGCAGCCCAGAGUCUGAAUCAGCUUGUGUGUUAGUGGAACGGUCUGGAAAGUCCGACGGUACAGGGUGAUAGUCCCGUACACCAAAAUGCACAGGUUGUGAACUCGAAGAGUAGGGCGGGACACGUGGUAUCCUGUCUGAAUAUGGGGGGACCAUCCUCCAAGGCUAAAUACUCCUGACUGACCGAUAGUGAACCAGUACCGUGAGGGAAAGGCGAAAAGAACCCCGGCGAGGGGAGUGAAAAAGAACCUGAAACCGUGUACGUACAAGCAGUGGGAGCAUCCUUUUGGGUGUGACUGCGUACCUUUUGUAUAAUGGGUCAGCGACUUAUAUUCUGUAGCAAGGUUAACCGUAUAGGGGAGCCGAAGGGAAACCGAGUCUUAACUGGGCGUUAAGUUGCAGGGUAUAGACCCGAAACCCGGUGAUCUAGCCAUGGGCAGGUUGAAGGUUGGGUAACACUAACUGGAGGACCGAACCGACUAAUGUUGAAAAAUUAGCGGAUGACUUGUGGCUGGGGGUGAAAGGCCAAUCAAACCGGGAGAUAGCUGGUUCUCCCCGAAAGCUAUUUAGGUAGCGCCUCGUGAACUCAUCUUCGGGGGUAGAGCACUGUUUCGGCUAGGGGGUCAUCCCGACUUACCAACCCGAUGCAAACUGCGAAUACCGAAGAAUGUUAUCACGGGAGACACACGGCGGGUGCUAACGUCCGUCGUGAAGAGGGAAACAACCCAGACCGCCAGCUAAGGUCCCAAAGUCAUGGUUAAGUGGGAAACGAUGUGGGAAGGCACAGACAGCCAGGAUGUUGGCUUAGAAGCAGCCAUCAUUUAAAGAAAGCGUAAUAGCUCACUGGUCGAGUCGGCCUGCGCGGAAGAUGUAACGGGGCUAAACCAUGCACCGAAGCUGCGGCAGCGACACUAUGUGUUGUUGGGUAGGGGAGCGUUCUGUAAGCCGUUGAAGGUGUAUCGUGAGGUAUGCUGGAGGUAUCAGAAGUGCGAAUGCUGACAUAAGUAACGAUAAUGCGGGUGAAAAACCCGCACGCCGGAAGACCAAGGGUUCCUGUCCAACGUUAAUCGGGGCAGGGUGAGUCGACCCCUAAGGCGAGGCCGAAAGGCGUAGUCGAUGGGAAACAGGUUAAUAUUCCUGUACUUGGUGUUACUGCGAAGGGGGGACGGAGAAGGCUAUGUUAGCCGGGCGACGGUUGUCCCGGUUUAAGCAUGUAGGCGGAGGUUCCAGGUAAAUCCGGUACCUUUUUAACGCUGAGGUGUGAUGACGAGGCACUACGGUGCUGAAGUAACAAAUGCCCUGCUUCCAGGAAAAGCCUCUAAGCAUCAGGUAACACGAAAUCGUACCCCAAACCGACACAGGUGGUCAGGUAGAGAAUACCAAGGCGCUUGAGAGAACUCGGGUGAAGGAACUAGGCAAAAUGGUGCCGUAACUUCGGGAGAAGGCACGCUGAUAUGUAGGUGAAGUGAUUUACUCAUGGAGCUGAAAUCAGUCGAAGAUACCAGCUGGCUGCAACUGUUUAUUAAAAACACAGCACUGUGCAAACACGAAAGUGGACGUAUACGGUGUGACGCCUGCCCGGUGCCGGAAGGUUAAUUGAUGGGGUUAUCCGUAAGGAGAAGCUCUUGAUCGAAGCCCCGGUAAACGGCGGCCGUAACUAUAACGGUCCUAAGGUAGCGAAAUUCCUUGUCGGGUAAGUUCCGACCUGCACGAAUGGCGUAAUGAUGGCCAGGCUGUCUCCACCCGAGACUCAGUGAAAUUGAACUCGCUGUGAAGAUGCAGUGUACCCGCGGCAAGACGGAAAGACCCCGUGAACCUUUACUAUAGCUUGACACUGAACACUGGUCCUUGAUGUGUAGGAUAGGUGGGAGGCUUUGAAGUGUGGACGCCAGUCUGCAUGGAGCCAUCCUUGAAAUACCACCCUUUAAUGGCUGGUGUUCUAACGUGGACCCGUAAUCCGGGUUGCGGACAGUGUCUGGUGGGUAGUUUGACUGGGGCGGUCUCCUCCUAAAGAGUAACGGAGGAGCACGAAGGUUAGCUAAUCCUGGUCGGACAUCAGGAGGUUAGUGCAAAGGCAUAAGCUAGCUUGACUGCGAGAGUGACGGCUCGAGCAGGUGCGAAAGCAGGUCUUAGUGAUCCGGUGGUUCUGAAUGGAAGGGCCAUCGCUCAACGGAUAAAAGGUACUCCGGGGAUAACAGGCUGAUACCGCCCAAGAGUUCAUAUCGACGGCGGUGUUUGGCACCUCGAUGUCGGCUCAUCACAUCCUGGGGCUGAAGUAGGUCCCAAGGGUAUGGCUGUUCGCCAUUUAAAGUGGUACGCGAGCUGGGUUUAGAACGUCGUGAGACAGUUCGGUCCCUAUCUGCCGUGGGCGCUGGAGAAUUGAGGGGGGCUGCUCCUAGUACGAGAGGACCGGAGUGGACGCAUCACUGGUGUUCGGGUUGUCAUGCCAAUGGCAUUGCCCGGUAGCUAAAUGCGGAAGAGAUAAGUGCUGAAAGCAUCUAAGCACGAAACUUGCCCCGAGAUGAGUUCUCCCUGAGACUUUAAGUCUCCUGAAGGAACGUUAAAGACGAUGACGUUGAUAGGUCGGGUGUGUAAGUGUAGCGAUACAUUGAGCUAACCGAUACUAAUGAACCGUGAGGCUUAACCUU
rnacentral:rRNA from 1 species